rnacentral:rRNA from 1 species
AUUGAACGCUGGCGGCAGGCCUAACACAUGCAAGUCGAGCGGAUGAAGGGAGCUUGCUCCUGGAUUCAGCGGCGGACGGGUGAGUAAUGCCUAGGAAUCUGCCUGGUAGUGGGGAUAACGUCCGGAAACGGGCGCUAAUACCGCAUACGUCCUGAGGGAGAAAGUGGGGGAUCUUCGGACCUCACGCUAUCCGAUGAGCCUAGGUCGGAUUAGCUAGUUGGUGGGGUAAAGGCCUACCAAGGCGACGAUCCGUAACUGGUCUGAGAGGAUGAUCAGUCACACUGGAACUGAGACACGGUCCAGACUCCUACGGGAGGCAGCAGUGGGGAAUAUUGGACAAUGGGCGAAAGCCUGAUCCAGCCAUGCCGCGUGUGUGAAGAAGGUCUUCGGAUUGUAAAGCACUUUAAGUUGGGAGGAAGGGCAGUAGGUUAAUACCUUGCUGUUUUGACGUUACCAACAGAAUAAGCACCGGCUAACUUCGUG